GUGCCAGCCGCCGCGGUAAUACGGAGGGGGCAAGCGUUGUUCGGAUUUAUUGGGUUUAAAGAGCACGUAGGUGGGUUUGUAAGUCAGAUGUGAAAGCCUUCUGUUCAACGGAAGAAUUGCAUCUGAAACUGCGAGUCUUGAGUGUAGGAGGGGAGAAUGGAACUUCUGGUGGAGCGGUGAAAUGCGUAGAUAUCAGAAGGAACGCCGGCGGCGAAAGCGAUUCUCUGGCCUAUUACUGACACUCAGUGUGCGAAAGCUAGGGGAGCAAACGGGAUUAGAUACCCCGGUAGUCCUAGCUGUAAACGAUGGGCACUAAGUAGAGGGAAUUACCGAUGUUCUCUCUGCCGUAGCUAACGCAUUAAGUGCCCCGCCUGGGGAGUACGGCCGCAAGGCUAAAACUCAAAUAAAUUGGCGGG
rnacentral:rRNA from 1 species